rnacentral:rRNA from 1 species
AACGAACGCUGGCGGCAGGCUUAACACAUGCAAGUCGAACGCCCCGCAAGGGGAGUGGCAGACGGGUGAGUAACGCGUGGGAACGUACCCUUUACUACGGAAUAACUCAGGGAAACUUGUGCUAAUAACGUAUGUGCCCUUCGGGGGAAAGAUUUAUCGGUAAAGGAUCGGCCCGCGUUGGAUUAGCUAGUUGGUGGGGUAAAGGCCUACCAAGGCGACGAUCCAUAGCUGGUCUGAGAUGAUGAUCAGCCACAUUGGGACUGAGACACGGCCCAAACUCCUACGGGAGGCAGCAGUGGGGAAUAUUGGACAAUGGGCGCAAGCCUGAUCCAGCCAUGCCGCGUGAGUGAUGAAGGCCCUAGGGUUGUAAAGCUCUUUCACCGGUGAAGAUAAUGACGGUAACCGGAGAAGAAGCCCCGGCUAACUUCGUGCCAGCAGCCGCAGUAACAC